UACCAGCACCCCGAGUGGUCGGGACGUUUAUUGGGCCUAAAGCAUCCGUAGCCGUUUCUGCAAGUCUUCCGUUAAAUCCACCUGCUUAACAGAUGGGCCGCGGAGGAUACUAUAGAGCUAGGAGGCGGGAGAGGCAAGCGGUACUCGACGGGUAGGGGUAAAAUCCGUUGAUCCAUUGAAGACCACCAGUGGCGAAGGCGGCUUGCCAGAACGCGCUCGACGGUGAGGGAUGAAAGCUGGGGGAGCAAACCGG
rnacentral:rRNA from 1 species